GCACUAGUAGCUCAGUCUCAGAGCACCGGUCUUGUAAACCGGACGUCGGGGGUUAAACUCCCCCCUACUGCU